AUACGGAGGAUGCAAGCGUUAUCCGGAUUUAUUGGGUUUAAAGGGUGCGCAGGCGGGACUGUAAGUCAGGGGUGAAAUACUGCAGCUUAACUGUAGCAUUGCCUUUGAAACUGCCGUUCUUGAGUACAGUUGAGGUAGGCGGAAUGUGGUGUGUAGCGGUGAAAUGCAUAGAUAUACCACAGAACGCCGAUUGCGAAGGCAGCUUACUAAGCUGUUACUGACGCUGAGGCACGAAAGCGUGGGGAUCAAACAGGAUUAGAUACCCUGGUAGUCCACGCUGUAAACGAUGAUUACUGGUUGUUAGCGAUAUAUAGCUAGUGACUGAGCGAAAGCAUUAAGUAUUCCACCUGGGGAGUACGCCGGCAACGGUGAAACUUAAAGGAAUUGACGGGG
rnacentral:rRNA from 1 species